rnacentral:rRNA from 1 species
UUCGCAAUGCCCGAAAGGGUGACGAUGCGACGCCGCGUGAGCGAAGAAGGCCCUAGGGUUGUAAAGCUCUGUCGAGGGUUAUGAAAUAUAGAUGGGUUAAUACCCCAUUUAUUUGACAAAAGCCCAAAAGGAAGCCACGGCUAACUCUGUGCCAGCAGCCGCGGUAAUACAGAGGUGGCGAGCGUUGUUCGGUAUUAUUGGGCGUAAAGAGCACGUAGGUGGUUUUGUAAGUCAGGUGUGAAAGCCUUCUGUUCAAAGGAAGAACGGCAUCUGAAACUGCAGAUCUUGAGUGUAGGAGGGGAGAGUGGAACUUCUGGUGGAGCGGUGAAAUGCGUAGAUAUCAGAAGGAACGUCGGCGGCGAAAGCGACUCUCUGGCCUAUUACUGACACUGAGGUGCGAAAGCUAGGGGAGCAAACGGGAUUAGAUACCCCGGUAGUCCUAGCCGUAAACGAUGGGCACUAAGUAGAGGGGUUUU